rnacentral:rRNA from 1 species
UACGUAGGGGGCAAGCGUUGUCCGGAAUCAUUGGGCGUAAAGCGCGUGUAGGCGGCUCGGUAAGUCUGCUGUGAAAGUCCAGGGCUCAACCCUGGGAUGCCGAUCGAUACUGUCGGACUAGAGUUCGGAAGAGGCGAGUGGAAUUCCCGGUGUAGCGGUGAAAUGCGCAGAUAUCGGGAGGAACACCAAUGGCGAAGGCAGCUCGCUGGGACGUUACUGACGCUGAGACGCGAAAGCGUGGGGAGCAAACAGG